AGUGAACGCUGGCGGCAGGCCUAACACAUGCAAGUCGAACGGCAGCACAGUGGUAGCAAUACCAUGGGUGGCGAGUGGCGGACGGGUGAGGAAUACAUCGGAAUCUACCUUUUCGUGGGGGAUAACGUAGGGAAACUUACGCUAAUACCGCAUACGACCUUAGGGUGAAAGCGGAGGACCUUCGGGCGUCGCGCGGAUAGAUGAGCCGGUGUCGGAUUAGCUAGUUGGCGGGGUAAAGGCCCGCCAAGGCGACGAUCCGUAGCUGUUCUGAGAGGAUGAUCAGCCACACUGGAACUGAGACACGGUCCAGACUCCUACGGGAGUCAGCAGUGGGGAAUAUUGGACAAUGGGCGCAAGCCUGAUCCAGCCAUGCCGCGUGGGUGAAGAAGGCCUUCGGGUUGUAAAGCCCUUUUGUUGGGAAAGAAAAGCAGUCGGUUAAUACCCGAUUGUUCUGACGGUACCCAAAAAAUAAGCACCGGCUAACUUCGUGCCAGCAGCCGCCGUAAAAC
rnacentral:rRNA from 1 species